AAGUUAAUGAUUUCUGUGGAAAAAGUGAAGCUCAGUUAAGUAAAACACAGCAACUGAAGAAGUAGAUGGUAUAAAAUAAUCACAAAAAGUAAAUGCUCAAUUUAGUCAUGUGCAAUGUAAAAAAUGCUGUAACAAUUGUGUAGCAUUUUAGAAAGGAUUGCAAGUCAAAAUCUAUUUUAUUGUUAUUAACAAAACCCCAGACACAGAGGUUUGGGUAAAUUAGGAAAAUGUUCAUUUAAUUUAUGAACCAAAUGACUAAACUCAAAGCUUUCCUAAUCAGUCUCAACUUGCAUUCUCCAGAAGGAGAAAACCCAAAUUAGAAAGAUAGGUUAUUGAAGUUGUGUGUGUACUGGCUGGAUGAAAUAACUGUGAAAAGUUAAAGGCAAUUUUUAUUUUAUACAGUAAGAAUGAGUGUAAAGAGAAACUACAGGUCGGGGGAGGGUUGAGACUGUAGAUGGAAUGAAGGCAGAUAGAGAUCACAGGAGUAAAGGCAGAAUUGAAAAGGAGAGAUUUAAAGAGCUUGUGGAAGACGACAUAAAAAUGACAGCUCAUAUGAUUAGGUUUGUGAAAUUACAUUAAAGCUGCUUUAAAUGGUUGACUUGUAGAGGAGACAGCAGGAGAGUAACAAGGGAAUAGAAGAAUCUGAAAUGUUACAGAAAAAAGAUGAUACAAGGGAAGAGGAAAGAAUUGAAAUACACUGGAAGAUGCAAAAACAGAAGGACAGGUACUGAGAAUGAAGGUAUUCUUAUAGGUAAACAAAAGGACAGGUACUGAGAAUGAAGGUAUUCUUAUAGGUAAACAAAAGGACAGGUACUGAGAAUGAAGGUAUUCUUAUAGGUAAACAAAAGGACAGGUACUGAGAAUGAAGGUAUUCUUAUAGGUAAACAGAAGGACAGGUACCAAGAAUGAAGGUAUUCUUGUAGGUAAAAGGAAAAAAAGAUGUAAGAGUAGCACAGAAGCCGAAUGAGAGGAAACAGACUCAAGACACAGAAUGGGACAGUAGCAGUGACUGACAUUGAAAAAAGAACACAAUGUGAAGUUCUUUAAAGAACUGUAAAAGAGGGAAGUAAGAGAAGAGGUGUGGAUACAUUAACCUUAAGAGUAGACAAAAUUAGAGAAAGAAUGCAAGUUGUUUGAUGAAAAAUGCCAUUAUGAUGAGGCUAAAACAGCAAUAGGGUGACAAAGAAGGGGUAAAGCAGACACAGAUGGAUACAAACAGAAAUAAAAUUAUUCAGAAGCAAAUCAAGGAGGGAUGGGGGACUCAGUGUGUUGACAGUUUUUUUUUCCAGUUUGUACUGUAAGGUCUGGUAGUGCUACCCCCAUUCAUCCACACUGCCCUGCCCUCAAUGUAUCCAGCCCACUGAAAUUCAGUCUGAGAUGUCCACAGUCACUCUUAACUGGCAUUUAUUAGCCAUUAUUCACUGCAACAAGCCCCUGUUAUACCUGAUCAAGGUAGUCAGUCCCACAGAGGUCCAUUAGCAAACACCACACAAAGACCACCACCAUAACAUUUUAAACAACGCAAAGAUGUUAUUGCUCAAUUCUACGAAUCUAAACAAGAAACUGUACUUGCUAAAAGCUUUUUUCACUGUGGAGAAUGCAAACAUUUGAGCAUUUAGACCAGCUACUGCACAGGCAUGGAGUAAAGCUGGAGAUGUCACUUUACAUCAAAAGCAUGCCUCGGGGCUGAUCAAACAAGAUGUGCUUCAGCUUCCCCACAUGCAAAUUACCAUAGGAAAGUCACGUACUAUAUCCUUAGAAGCUGUAGGUCCACCUCUGUCACCUAGGAAAUGCAUAACACAGUUUACUGGAUCUCCUCGCCAGUCAUCCCAAUAACAUAUUCAUGGGUGACUACCCUACUAUAAACUGGGAUCCAUACACUGUCCCAAGCUUGCAAGCCCAGAGAUUGCUGCACUUUGUCAACACAAGCACCCUAGACCCAACAGUCCAAAUGCCCACUAGGAGUAGGAACAUAAGGUGAUGUAGUCAUCACUAGCAUGGGAGAAUGCUGCACCCACCCUAUGUAAUGUCCUCUUUGGUGAGGACAAACCAUUUUAAGGCAAAUGUCGUACUAUCAAGUAGUAGCCUGGCAAAAUUUGAUGCCCCACCAAAAACUCUUAAGAACACUGACCUGUACAACCGUGUUAGAGGCACAGAGACAUUUCUGCUUACCAGGAAUAACCACAGAACAAAUUCAUACAAGCCAGCCUGAUGGUAUCCUAUCAACAAGAUGCACAGCAAAAGGAAGAAAGUCAUAGCAAAAAUUAGGAAGUGCAACAUCCAGCAGGAUUAAAAAAAAAAAUCUAAACAUGAAACUCAGAGGACAGAUUAAGUCACUAUACAAAUCUUUCCUGUUCGGGUGGUACCAUCCCAUAUCAUACCAACAUCUGCUCCCUUCCCCAACACAAGUAUACCAUUGCCGUAUCAGACAGCUUGAGUGACAACAGAACUAUUCUAAUACAGCUGAUGCAAUUCAAAUGGGAAAUUAAGGUAAUGGCUGCAGAGCAUUGAUUCACUGUUCUCAGUGAGGUUAGCAUAGAUAUUUCACAACAGGCUGUGUUCAUAAGAUACAAGGUAGCAAAAACAGCUACUAAGAAAAAAACAGCUUGUCAAAGUUGUACUACUGUACACAGUUAGAUUUGACUCUACAACUUCAAUAAUAGCAAUAAACCUAGUGCAUGUUACAACUGGAAUUUAGCAGAUUUCUAAACUGCAUGCAGCAUCAGCAUUACACAUAAAAUGAAAAUGUACAAUGCAAAACGCCAGACUGGUACUCAGUUACAAAACAGGCUGUAAUACUACCCCCACAGCUUCCAGUGCGGUAUAGCUUUACAGAAAAAAAAAAAAAGAAAACUGUUGCUGAAAAUGUUAAAAAAAUAAACUGACUACAGCCAGUUUAUCAUGCAGGGUUCUCAGCAGAACUUUAUCACAGUAACACAAUGAAGACCAGUUAUAAAGGAAAAAGGCCAGAUGCAGCAGUAUACUAUACUAUGUAUACUGGGUCAACUGUAAAAAAAAAAAAAAAAUAAAAAUCAUGUCUCAUGUUAGACUUUCAUUACAUGAUUUGCACACAAUACAACAGGGUAUUUAACAAUAAAAUACAGAGUGCAAGAAAGUCAGAGCUUCCAGACAGUGUUUCUUGAAUCUGAUUUCACAAUUUUAGUAGCUUAAAUGGUUGGCACUGUAUAUAGACAACAUAAUACAACUAAAUAGUUACACAGUGAACUAUACAGGAUUGAACCUGUACCAUAACAUAAACUUAGAAAUCAUAUCCAGAGGCACCGACUUUAUUCCAUCUUUUAUGCAGAGGUGAAAUUGACCUGCCCCCCUCCACACAGUUUCUACCAUUACAAAAAACACAGACUUCUCUAAAAAUUAUCUUAAGUUAACCACUACAUGAUCAGUACACCAAAAGUAAUGCAAUCACAUUACAAUCAUGAAUUCAUCUACCAUGGCUAACAAUCAAAGGCUACAUAGUGAUUUGGCUUCAAUCCUGUUAAUACCACUCAAAUACUACAAAGAAAUCACAUGUGCCUGCCCCUC